rnacentral:rRNA from 1 species
GUGAAAUUGUUGAAAGGGAAGCGCUUGCAAUCAGACUUGCGUGCGGUUGAUCAUCCGAGGUUUUCCCCGGUGUACUCGAUCGUACUCAGGCCAGCAUCGGUUUGGGCGGUUGGAUAAAGGCCUUGGGAAUGUGGCUCCUCUCGAGGAGUGUUAUAGCCCUCGGUGCAAUGCAGCCUGUCCGGACCGAGGACCGCGCUUCGGCUAGGAUGCUGGCGUAAUGGUUGUAAGCGACCCGUCUUGAAACACGGACCAAGGAGUCUAACAUCUAUGCGAGUGUUUGGGUGUCAAACCCAUGCGCGUAAUGAAAGUGAACGGAGGUGAGAACCCUUAAGGGUGCAUCAUCGACCGAUCCUGAUGUCUUCGGAUGGAUUUGAGUAAGAGCAUAGCUGUUGGGACCCGAAAGAUGGUGAACUAUGCCUGAAUAGGGUGAAGCCAGAGGAAACUCUGGUGGAGGCUCGCAGCGGUUCUGACGUGCAAAUCGAUCGUCAAAUUUGGGUAUAGGGGCGAAAGACUAAUCGAACCAUCUAGUAGCUGGUUCCUGCCGAAGUUUCCCUCAGGAUAGCAGUGUUGAAUUCAGUUUUAUGAG